GCCCGGGUGGCGGAAUUGGUAGACGCAAGGGACUUAAAAUCCCUCGGGACUUAAAUCCUGUGCCGGUUCGACUCCGGCCCCGGGCA
rnacentral:tRNA from 1 species